rnacentral:rRNA from 1 species
AGCAGCCGCGGUAAUUCCAGCUCCAAUAGCGUAUAUUAAAGUUGCUGCAGUUAAAAAGCUCGUAGUUGAAUUUCGGGGUCAAUAUGUUGGUCGUGCCUUGGCACGUACUAGCUUAUUGAUUUCUCCUUCUGACGAACCAUGAUGUCAUUAAUUUGGUGUCAUGGGGAAUCAGGACUGUUACUUUGAAAAAAUUAGAGUGUUUAAAGCAGGCUCGCGCUUGAAUACAUUAGCAUGGAAUAAUGAAAUAGGACAUUUGAUUCUAUUUUGUUGGUUCUAGGAUCGACGUAAUGAUUAAUAGGGAUAGUUGGGGGCAUUAGUAUUCAAUUGUCAGAGGUGAAAUUCUUGGAUUUAUUGAAGACUAACUACUGCGAAAGCAUUUGCCAAGGAUGUUUUCAUUAAUCAAGAACGAAAGUUAGGGAUCGAAGACGAUCAGAUACCGUCGUAGUCUUAACCAUAAACUAUGCCGACUAGGGAUCGGAUGAUGUUAAUUUUUUAAUGACUCAUUCGGCGCCUUACGGGA